rnacentral:rRNA from 1 species
AAUGAACGCUGGCGGCAUGCCUAAUACAUGCAAGUCGAGCGAGCGGCGGACGGGUGAGUAAUGUAUGGGAACCUGCCAGAUGGCGGGGGAUAACUACUGGAAACGGUGGCUAAUACCGCAUACCAUCCGAUGAACCCAUAUGGGAUUAGCUAGUAGGUGGGGUAAAGGCUCACCAAGGCGACGAUCCCUAGCUGGUCUGAGAGGAUGAUCAGCCACACUGGAACUGAGACACGGCCCAGACUCCUACGGGAGGCAGCAGUGGGGAAUAUUGCACAAUGGGCGCAAGCCUGAUGCAGCAAUGCCGCGUGUGUGAAGAAGGCCUUAGGGUUGUAAAGCACUUUCAGCGGGGAGGCGUUACCCGCAGAAAAAGCACCGGCUAACUCCGUGCCAGCAGCCGCGGUAAUUC